rnacentral:rRNA from 1 species
UACGAGGGGAGCAAGCGUUGUUCGGAUUUACUGGGCGUAAAGGGCGCGUAGGCGGCUCAACAAGUCAGUUGUGAAAUCCCCGGGCUUAACUCGGAACGGUCAAGUGAUACUGUCGAGCUAGAGUACAGAAGGGGCAACUGGAAUUCUCGGUGUAGCGGUGAAAUGCGUAGAUAUCGAGAGGAACACCUGCGGCGAAGGCGGGUUGCUGGGCUGAUACUGACGCUGAGGCGCGAAAGCCAGGGGAGCGAACGGG